rnacentral:rRNA from 1 species
ACGUACACUCCUACGGGAGGCAGCAGUGGGGAAUAUUGGACAAUGGGCGCAAGCCUGAUCCAGCCAUGCCGCGUGAGUGAUGAAGGCCCUAGGGUUGUAAAGCUCUUUCACCGGUGAAGAUAAUGACGGUAACCGGAGAAGAAGCCCCGGCUAACUUCGUGCCAGCAGCCGCGGUAAUACGAAGGGGGCUAGCGUUGUUCGGAUUUACUGGGCGUAAAGCGCACGUAGGCGGACUAUUAAGUCAGGGGUGAAAUCCCGGGGCUCAACCCCGGAACUGCCUUUGAUACUGGUAGUCUUGAGUUCGGGAGAGGUGAGUGGAAUUCCGAGUGUAGAGGUGAAAUUCGUAGAUAUUCGGAGGAACACCAGUGGCGAAGGCGGCUCACUGGCUCGAUACUGACGCUGAGGUGCGAAAGCGUGGGGAGCAAACAGGAUUAGAUACCCUUGUAGUCCCAU